rnacentral:rRNA from 1 species
ACUCCUACGGGAGGCAGCAGUGGGGAAUUUUGGCCAAUGGGCGCAAGCCUGAUCCAGCAAUGCCGCGUGCAGGAUGAAGGCCUUCGGGUUGUAAACUGCUUUUGUACGGAGCGAAACGGUCUUCUCUAAUAAAGGGGGCUAAUGACGGUACCGUAAGAAUAAGCACCGGCUAACUACGUGCCAGCAGCCGCGGUAAUACGGAGGGUGCAAGCGU